CCUAAGAACAAGUUUUCUGUUUCGCUCACAAAACAUUAAAAAAAACAAAAAAAAAAACCCUUAAGAACAAACCCUAGGAUAUGCUUCUGAAUUAUGUAGUUAGGGUUCUUCUUUUGGGUUCUUGAUUUGGAGCCGUUAUUCAGCUGGAUUUUGCACUGGGAUUUAGGUUCGUACACUGUUCUUUUGAUUGCUAUAAGAUUUAGGUUAAUCAAAAUCAAAGUUAGAUUUCUGAUUGUAGACUUUUCUUUUGAUGGCAACCAAAUCAAAUUUAGGAACCACUUUCAAGUGGAGCAUGUAGUGUUGGAUAAUCUAACAUGUUCCUAAUAAUUUAGAGUUCACCGAAAAUGAACUGAAAUUGUGGGUUCUUAAGAUACAUUCUCAUAAUUUUGAGGUGUUUGUGGCCGAAGGAAACAUUGAAUACUGGCAAUAUAUUCAAUAUGUGGAUCUGUUGGAAGGGAAUACUAAUGGGUGUAUGGCUGUAUGCCAUUUCGAAAACAAAAGUCUGCAGCAGCAAAUGUACGGUGGCGGGGACAAAGGUUUUUCUCACAUCUUGAUAAUUUUUUGAUGUCGAGAGAUUAUGCGCCAUGUGAUAAGUAACAGUGCAGUAGCACCCACCAUUAAAGGCUGAGUUGAAUCAACACGGGUAGUCAUGAUUAUUUUGGUAUUGUAGGUAUGGUUGGUGGAACCUAGAGGAUUGACAGAAGAUGAGCAAAAAAAGGGCCAAAGGGAACACAUUGUAUAUCAAUCUCCAGUAAAGAGAUCUAGAAAGGAAUCUAUUUACUACAUAGGACUUGGCUAUUCCUAGAGCUCUGGAAAUGUGCAUGCCUGAGAGGUAAUUACUUUGGUAUUCGCUCUAACCAUUAUCCUAACUCUAAUCUUAACUUAUUCCAACAAAGAAGUCAGCUAACCCUGUUCAAAGUUCUGAAUAGAAUUGGCCGAGGGUUAUUAAUAUUCGAUCACAAUCUAGUUUAAGUCUGCCCUUAAGCAAACAUAACCAUACACUAAGGCUAAUUUUUUUUCAGAAACUGGGUUUGAUCCUUUUUUGUGGGUUCUUCUGAUUUCUUUGAGAUGACGUAUUUAAACAGAAUUAAUUGUUGAGAAGGGUAAUAAUUAAGUGCAUGCUUUGGAAGAAUGGGAUUCACAUGAGUGUGGAGAUAAGUUACUUGAUGCGGACAAAGAAUGAGUAUUUUUUUUAUCAUGAAUUUCCUACUAUGGUUCGCAGUUCUUAAAAUGGUUUGUUGUCCAUUAAAUGCAGCAAGACUGCCUAUAUCCCGAGAUCGUCCUCUCUUUUAUUUUGGAUGGCGUAAUUAGCUUCAUUGUGGUAUGUCCAAGAAUAUUAUUUUCAUAAUUGAGUCUUUAGUUUUUGUAUUCUACUUGAAAAUAUAUUAUUUCCACAUUACGAAUUUGAUUUUAAUCCAUCAUAUGUUUUGGUUAUUGCUCUCAAGAUUUAUCGCAUCAGAUAUGAAAAUUUCUUUAUAAGAUUUCGACUAUUUUGACUUUGUAACUCAUGGGAUCUGUUCCUGUAAUCUUUCUACACAAAAUUUGAGUUCACAGGAUGCAGAAGAAAACAAUUUAGAUCGUGUUUGCAACAAUGGGAGUAACAAUGGAAACAACACAAAUCUUCAAAAAGUGAUUUUUAAUGGAUGUAGAAAGUGACCCUUUUCUUUAACUUGGUAUCGGCUAAAAUUCUCUUCUUUGUGGUUUUAAAGCUCCUUCUUAAUUAACUUUACUCAUAUAUAUAUUUUUACAUAAUUUGGUUAAAUGUUUGAAUAGUGUGGGCGUACUAUAAAAGUUUUUUGAGCACUAUCUAUUGGUCACUUGAAAUAUUUGUAUGGAUUUGAUUUACAACGGAUCAUUUGGGGAAAAAUGCUAGCAUUAGUGCUCGAAAAUGCAUAUAGUCCCAUGCCAGAAAGAAAAAAUAUUCCUAUAACAUGGAGUAAUAAGGUAGAGGUUAUAAACACUAUCAAACUUAUGUUCAGUGCAUUACAUAUGUUUCAUUGUGCUUGAUUAUAUCCUAAAAGUAAAUGGGAUGUUCAUGUGUCAUUAUAAGUUAUAUAAUAAGAAUCCUUAUUUUUGCCAUGACUUUUUUGUAGAUAGACCUGCUUCCUCUGUUUAGCAAUACACAUUGAACAUGUAAGGUAUCUUGUGUGAGAAUGCAUUUUAUUCAAGCUACUAGAUAUCUAUUACCCCUUCGAUCGCUUAGAAUUUUUAUUAUAUACUGAUCUUAACUAAAGAUUAUACUUUUCAUGUGGUUGCUGACCUUAUCUUUUUUUGGACAGAAAGUCACUCUUCAAGCUCAAAGAUAAUUUACUUUCCCAGCAUGCAAUAUAAAGAUAAAUUUCAUAUUUUCAUAUUAUAGAUGUUCUUGCAAAAGAUAAUUUCAUAUUUUGAGUUAACACUCGCACUAUUCAAUGAAUACUGAGUCCAACACUGCCUUUAACUGCUUGCAGUGUUCAACACUGUCAUAGAAGAGGGAUCUUGCACCAAUUAAAAUCAUUGUGCAUCUUUAACUUUCCUCAGGUAAAAUUCAUAUCUCAUAAAGCAUUAUAUGCUUCUCUCAAUGCAAUCAGGUACUGGUUCCAUAUCUCAUAAAAUCAUUGUAGUAUGAUACUGGAUAUAUAGUUGGAUCUCCACCAGGUACUGGAUCCAUAGAUGCUGGAUAAGGGUAGUAUGUUGUACACAAUCCAACAAGAAGGAAAGCUCAGCAACAAAUAAAAAGAGGCGUCAUAUAAUUGUAGUUCUCUUCAAUGUCAUAACAUCAGUUUGUUGGUCCUGGACAUGGAGUAUUCCGAUCUGAAGUUAACUGUGACCUCAAGGAUUAAGAGAACUUGAGUUGGGGUAUUUGUCGGUUUGAAAAAUUAUUCAUGAUUAGUUAAUCUUUACUCUAUGCGUCUUUUUA